rnacentral:misc_RNA from 1 species
AAUAUACAGUAAUAACAUCGUAUUAUCCUCUAUUUAUCAGAUAACUCUCUUUAGGGCAGAGGAAAAAUAAAGGUUUUCGUAAAAUUUUGGCUCUUUUAGUAAAAUAUGAGCAGAGGUGUUUAGUAUUCUCCCUUUGUUUAUUGAUUGUGAAAUGUAUUAAUGGAGGGAACUUUAAAUAUUGGGAAAGAUUUUAAUAGAUUUUUCGUCAAAACUUCAAUAUAUCAAUGGCCCAAAGCUCAGCAUUUGUAAAUUGUCCCGUCUGCUCACGAUCGUUUGUCAGCUGGACCAUAAACCAGCAUAUCGAAGAAUGUCUGCAGCGAAGCGAAGAUAAGACUGCACCAUCGGGAUCGAACAAAAAUGAUCAGUUGAGCACAACCCAUUCUCUGAAUACAUUGUCAAAAAGUCCAGAGAUCACGCAUAACAGAAAGAGUUUAAAGUCGACUGACUCUGGUUCUUGCAACAGGUUGUCAAACAGUCCAGAAAUUGACGAAAGUACAAAGAAUAUGGCUUCCUUUCGUAGUCCCCCUCUCAAGAGAGCGAAGGUGGAAAGUUUUAAAACCGGACCAGUUGUGAAUACUCAAACAAAAGGAGGUACAUCAAAACAAAACGAUCAAACACCGAGAAGGAACAAGUUUGUUCCACUAGCAGAGAAACUACGUCCUAAAACACUAGAAGAGUAUGUUGGUCAAGCUAAAGUUCUUGGGGAGAGGUCUAUGCUUAAGAAGCUCUUGGAGUCUCAUGAUGUUCCAUCCAUGAUAUUCUGGGGACCACCAGGCUGUGGCAAGACAACACUGGCUAAUAUCAUUGCAAACAAUACAAAACAAGCAAGUGCAAUGAGGUUUGUGAAACUGUCAGCAACCAUGUCUGGGGUUGCUGAGGUCAAAGAAGUCAUUAAAAUAGCAAAGAAUGAACAAUCGCUAUUUCAACGAAAGACAAUCCUGUUUGUUGAUGAAAUACAUCGAUUCAACAAGAUGCAACAGGAUACAUUUCUACCACAUGUUGAAAAUGGCACAAUCACAAUGAUUGGUGCAACCACUGAAAACCCAUCAUUCCAUGUGAACACAGCAUUACUCAGCCGAUGUCGAGUUAUUGUGCUUGAGAAAUUGUCCACAGAAAAUCUCAUGGCAAUACUUGCAUCUGGUGUCAGCGCUCUUGGAGGAGUGGUGUGUGAUAAUGUCAAAGAUAUUUCUUUAUACAAUGGUGAUGAAUCAAGCAGAGAUGUAAAGAUUGCUGUGGAAAAAGAUUCGUUACGUUUGCUCGCCAAUUUAUGCGAUGGUGAUGCACGAAAUGCUUUGAAUGGUUUAGAAAUGGCAGUUCAGUCGAAAUUGAAUAGCCAGCAGAGUCAUUCAAGGCCUCCUUUGAUCACAGUUGCUGAUACAAAGGAAAGUUUUCAAAGAUCUCAUGUGUCGUACGAUCGUAAUGGAGAGGAACAUUACAACAUCAUCUCAGCCUUGCAUAAAUCUGUGCGUGGUGGAGAUGAUAAUGCAGCGUUGUAUUGGUUGGGGAGGAUGUUGGUUGGUGGGGAAGAUCCCAUGUAUAUUGCAAGAAGAUUGGUGAGAAUGGCUAGUGAAGAUAUAGGACUUGCAGACCCGCAGGCUUUGAAUCAAGCUGUUUCAGCAUUUCAAGCGUGUCAUUUCAUUGGUCGACCUGAAUGUGAUGUUAUCCUGGCUCAAGCAGCCGUUUAUCUCGCGAGAGCUCCGAAGUCUGUCGAGGUUUACAAGGCGUAUGGUAAGGUCGCAGAACAUAUCAAAUCCUACGAGGGAACAUUACCCGGGGUUCCACUGCAUCUCCGCAACGCUCCCACCAAACUUAUGAAAAAUCUUGGUUAUUCAAAAGGGUACAAAUAUAACCCGGACUACGAUGGUCCCGUUGACCAGGAGUAUCUACCCUCGGAAUUGAAGGGAAUCGACUUUUUCAAAGAUGGAAAAUAGGAAAAUGUAUAUAAUACCCCGUUCGCCUCUCACAGAUUCCCAACUUGUGAUAAAUUUAGCCAGCACUCUGGCAGACAGUUUUGUAGUAAAGCUGAUGUACAAUACAGCUCAAAUAUUUCACUCUGAUAAUCCAACCUUAAUAUCUUUAUCCUC